rnacentral:rRNA from 1 species
UACGUAGGGUGCGAGCGUUGUCCGGAAUUAUUGGGCGUAAAGAGCUUGUAGGCGGUUUGUCGCGUCUGACGUGAAAAUCCGGGGCUCAACCCCGGACUUGCGGUGGGUACGGGCAGACUAGAGUGUGGUAGGGGAGACUGGAAUUCCUGGUGUAGCGGUGAAAUGCGCAGAUAUCAGGAGGAACACCGAUGGCGAAGGCGGUUCUCUGGGCCUUACCUGACGCUGAGGAGCGAAAGCGUGGGGAGCGAACAGG